UACGGGGGGGGCAAGCGUUGUUCGGAAUUACUGGGCGUAAAGGGCGCGUAGGCGGUUGGAUAAGUCAGCUGUGAAAACCACGAGCUCAACUUGUGGCCUGCAGUUGAAACUGUCUGGCUAGAGUGUGGGAGAGGGAAGUGGAAUUCCUGGUGUAGCGGUGAAAUGCGUAGAUAUCGGGAGGAACACCAGUGGCGAAGGCGACUUCCUGGCCUGUUCUUGACGCUGAGGCGCGAAAGCUAGGGGAGCAAACGGG
rnacentral:rRNA from 1 species